rnacentral:rRNA from 1 species
AACGAACGCUGGCGGCAGGCCUAACACAUGCAAGUCGAGCGCCCCGCCCGGGGAGCGGCGGACGGGUGAGUAACGCGUGGGGAUAUGCCCUUUGCUACGGAAUAGUCUCGGGAAACUGGGGGUAAUACCGUAUACGCCCUUUGGGGGAAAGAUUUAUCGGCGAAGGAUUAGCCCGCGUUGGAUUAGGUAGUUGGUGGGGUAAUGGCCCACCAAGCCGACGAUCCAUAGCUGGGUUGAGAGGAGGAUCAGCCACACUGGGACUGAGACACGGCCCAGACUCCUACGGGAGGCAGCAGUGUGUAAUCUUAUACAAGGGAGGCAACCGUGAUCUAGCCAUGCCGGGGGAGUGAUGAAGGCCGUAGGGUUGUAAAGCUCUUUCAGCUGGGAAGAUAAUGACGGUACCAGCAGAAGAAGCCCCGGCUAACUCCGUG